rnacentral:lncRNA from 1 species
AGGGCGGGCUUGGCGCUGGCGAGGUGAGAGCUCCAAACUUGAAGCGGCGCCACGGCCAAGGUGUCCUCUGUCGCCAUUGCAGGAGCUGCGAGGGUGCGCGAAUCCGAAUGGUGGCUGAUUGGUGAACCUAGAGCACCCUUUGCCCCAGGUUCUAGCUCUGGCCCGGUUUUUUCUCUUUACAUUUAAGCUGUAGGCAGAGGAAAUCCUCGUUAGAGGCCUUCUCCCCACCCCGCUUCUCAGCCACAAACUGUUGUUUCAUUAGGAAUCUCACCAGAAACCCGUUUUCAGGUGAAGGCCGAGUACUCAGCCCCUUGUGGUGCCUGGUUUUACUUGAUCACAUUGUAAUUCCAUCCUAGGAACCACUCUAUAAGUUCACUUAACAGAGAGAAGUGGAGUGGUUCUUAGCAACCUUUUGCGAUGUAACUUAACCACCAAAGAGAUAUCUGGCUAAUAUGGCAGCUCUCGAGAAGUCCGUAUUUACACGUUGGUAUGUAUUGCUUUUGUUUCCUGUGCAUCUUCUACACCUCCUGUGUAUGCCUAUGUUUAAGUUAUCUUCAUUAAAACCUCCAGCUCUUCUUC